AGAACGUAGCGAAAUGCGAUACUUGGUGUGAAUUGCAGAAUCCCGUGAACCAUCGAGUCUUUGAACGCAAGUUGCGCCCGAAGCCAUUAGGUUGAGGG
rnacentral:rRNA from 1 species